GACGAACGCUGGCGGCGUGCUUAACACAUGCAAGUCGAGCGGUAAGGCCCUUUUGGGGUACGACGAGCGGCGAACGGGUGAGUAACACGUGGGUGACCUGCCCUCAGCUCUGGGAUAAGCCUGGGAAACUGGGUCUAAUACUGGAUAUGACCUUUCCUCGCAUGGGGUUGGGUGGAAAGUUUUUCGGCUGGGGAUGGCCCGCGGCCUAUCAGCUUGUUGGUGGGGUGAUGGCCUACCAAAGGCGACGACGGGUAGCCGGCCUGAGAGGGCGACCGGCCGACACUGGGACUGAGACACGGCCCAGACUCCUACGGGAGGCAGCAGUGGGGAAUAUUGCGCAAUGGGCGGAAGCCUGACGCAGCGACGCC
rnacentral:rRNA from 1 species